UAUUCUCAUUUUUUUCUUUUUUUACAUUUUAGAAUUCCAAAUUAAAUAUUUUAUUAUUGCAUGCAAGACAAGAAGUCAGGAACAACAUGGAAGAGGAGCUUACAGUAGAAUUUAGAAUGAAAGAACAGAGAGAGAAGUCAAAAGUGCUUUUGAACAAUAGACAGGUAAGCCAUAAGUGCUUUCGAACUAUUAUUUGCCAAAAUUGCUGAGAGGGGCCGAAUACAAGUUAAAAGAUGUGCCGGACAA
rnacentral:lncRNA from 1 species